UAGCGCCAAGCAGGGUCAUAACCAUUAGGCAGCGCAUAAUCAGAGUGCGUGUCAUAGCCCCAAGCUGUAACUCAAGCCUUGCUGGGUCAGUGAUGUGGUGUGCUUUAAUCAAAGCGAUGAUCCAUUUAAAUAGAUUGGGAGCUGUACUUGGCUGCAACAACUGGGACCUGCUGAUGGGGACACACCGAGAAGAAGGAAUGUCGGCCAUAUCUGAUGCUGCUCACUCGGCUUUGACCGACUGAGGAAGAGGAGGAAUGGAGGAGGAGAGCGUCGCUUCAGCGAGAACAUGCCUCAAUGACCUCACAAGCUUCAAGUCCAAACAAAGUGGCAAGCACUAAAUGGGUUUCUAAACAGUUUCUUCUUUACACCACGUAAGAAUUUCCCCAGACAAAGCGAAGUGAAAAUCAAACUACUUGUCAGCUGGAAAAAUUCUUUGGCUUGCCACAGGACAGCGAUCUUCACACAAGAAUUUAGAAGGAUUAAAAGUGAAAAGCAGCCAGACCAGCAGCCUGUGGUUAACACGUCUGCCUUAACAGUUCUCAGGCUCAAAUCACGGCUUUGGCUUUCCUGUGUGGAGUACUCGGACUUCCUCUCACAUUCCAAAAACAUGUUAGGUUCAUGAAACUUUUUUAAAUUGUCCAUAAGUGUGACUCGAGUGAGGACAAGCUCUUCCUUAAGUGUCACACAAUUGUUGAA